rnacentral:rRNA from 1 species
GUCUGUCACUUAUAGAUGGAUCCUGCGCCGUAUUAGCUAGUUGGUAAGGUAACGGCUUACCAAGGCAACGAUACGUAGCCGACCUGAGAGGGUGAUCGGCCACACUGGAACUGAGACACGGUCCAGACUCCUACGGGAGGCAGCAGUAGGGAAUCUUCCGCAAUGGGCGAAAGCCUGACGGAGCAACGCCGCGUGAGUGAUGAAGGUCUUCGGA